GAUGAACGCUGGCGGCGUGCCUGAUACAUGCAAGUCGAGCGAACAGACGAGGAGCUUGCUCCUCUGACGUUAGCGGCGGACGGGUGAGUAACACGUGGAUAACCUACCUAUAAGACUGGGAUAACUUCGGGAAACCGGAGCUAAUACCGGAUAAUAUAUUGAACCGCAUGGUUCAAUAGUGAAAGACGGUUUUGCUGUCACUUAUAGAUGGAUCCGCGCCGCAUUAGCUAGUUGGUAAGGUAACGGCUUACCAAGGCAACGAUGCGUAGCCGACCUGAGAGGGUGAUCGGCCACACUGGAACUGAGAAACGGUCCAGACUCCUACGGGAGGCAGCAGUAGGGAAUCUUCCGCAAUGGGCGAAAGCCUGACGGAGCAACGCCGCGUGAGUGAUGAAGGUCUUCGGAUCGUAAAACUCUGUUAUUAGGGAAGAACAAAUGUGUAAGUAACUAUGCACGUCUUGACGGUACCUAAUCAGAAAGCCACGGCUAACUACGUG
rnacentral:rRNA from 1 species